rnacentral:rRNA from 1 species
UACGUAGGGUGCUAGCGUUGUUCGGAAUUACUGGGCGUAAGGGCGCGUAGGCGGCCGCUCGCGUCGGAUGUGAAAGCCCGGGGCUCAACCCCGGAACGGCAUCCGAUACGGGGCGGCUGGAGACCGGGAGAGGAGGGUGGAAUAGCCAGUGUAGAGGUGAAAUUCGUAGAUAUUGGCUGGAACACCGGUGGCGAAAGCGGCUCUCUGGCCCGGUUCUGACGCUGAGGCGCGAAAGCGUGGGGAGCAACAGG